rnacentral:rRNA from 1 species
GUGGGUAGUUUGACUGGGGCGGUCUCCUCCUAAAGAGUAACGGAGGAGCACGAAGGUUGGCUAAUCCUGGUCGGACAUCAGGAGGUUAGUGCAAUGGCAUAAGCCAGCUUGACUGCGAGCGUGACGGCGCGAGCAGGUGCGAAAGCAGGUCAUAGUGAUCCGGUGGUUCUGAAUGGAAGGGCCAUCGCUCAACGGAUAAAAGGUACUCCGGGGAUAACAGGCUGAUACCGCCCAAGAGUUCAUAUCGACGGCGGUGUUUGGCACCUCGAUGUCGGCUCAUCACAUCCUGGGGCUGAAGUAGGUCCCAAGGGUAUGGCUGUUCGCCAUUUAAAGUGGUACGCGAGCUGGGUUUAGAACGUCGUGAGACAGUUCGGUCCCUAUCUGCCGUGGGCGCUGGAGAACUGAGGGGGGCUGCUCCUAGUACGAGAGGACCGGAGUGGACGCAUCACUGGUGUUCGGGUUGUCAUGCCAAUGGCACUGCCCGGUAGCUAAAUGCGGAAGAGAUAAGUGCUGAAAGCAUCUAAGCACGAAACUUGCCCCGAGAUGAGUUCUCCCUGAGACUUUAGGUCUCCUGAAGGAACGUUGAAGACGACGACGUUGAUAGGCC